rnacentral:rRNA from 1 species
UUGCCCUACGGGGGGCAGCAGUGGGGGAUAUUGCACAAUGGGGGAAACCCUGAUGCAGCGAUGCCGCGUGAAUGAAGACGGCCUUCGGGUUGUAAAGUUCUGUCGCAGGGGACGAAAAUGACGGUACCCUGCAAGAAAGCUCCGGCUAACUACGUGCCAGCAGCCGCGGUAAUACGUAGGGAGCAAGCGUUGUCCGGAAUUACUGGGUGUAAAGGGAGCGUAGGCGGGAGAGCAAGUCGACUGUGAAAUC